rnacentral:tRNA from 1 species
GGUGUAGCUCAGUGGUGGAGUGCUUGCCUACCAUGCAUGAAGCCCUGGGUUCCAUCCCCAACACC